rfam:Triticum urartu cultivar G1812 contig217585, whole genome shotgun sequence.
CAGGUACUCCUUCUGUUCCAAAUUAUUUGUCUUGGAUUUGUCUAGAUACGGAUGUAUCUAGACUCAUUUUAAUGCUAGAUACCUCUUUAUCUAGAUAAAUUUAAGACAAGUAAUUCGAAACGGAUGGAGUACAUG